rnacentral:rRNA from 1 species
UACGUAGGGUGCGAGCGUUGUCCGGAAUUAUUGGGCGUAAAGAGCUCGUAGGUGAUUUGUCGCGUUGUCCGUGAAAACUCACAGCUCAACUGUGGGCGUGCGGGCGAUACGGGCAGACUGGAGUACUGCAGGGGAGACUGGAAUUCCUGGUGUAGCGGUGAAAUGCGCAGAUAUCAGGAGGAACACCGGUGGCGAAGGCGGUUCUCUGGGCAUUACCUGACGCUGAGGAGCGAAAGCGUGGGGGAGCAAACAGG